GGCUAUUCCGAAGGUAGUGAGUGACCUCAAUUGAUUGUCUGCAGUCAAAGAUUGAAAUCCUUAUUCUCCUCUUUUCCCCCUCUCAGUACUGCACUUGACUAGUCUUAA
ensembl:misc_RNA Y_RNA Y RNA